GGUUUUUUAAGAAUAUAUGCAGUGUGUGAGCGUUGAAAAUAUUUCAAAACAGGCCGUAUUCCAUGUCAUGAUAUUAAGGGAAAAUAUAAGCCAAGUUUUGAUAAUUAUGAGAGGACGAAACAAGACUUAAAAGACCAGAACGUAGGGAGUUUUCAAUAUGUAAACAAUUAAUAUAAUGGUUCCGUUUCCCUAAAUGUAGCAGAAGUUUACGUUAAAAAGACGUGUUAAAUGCACGAAAAGCAAUCCUAAUGUCGUUGAAAUCGGUGAAAUAUAUGACAAAAUAACAG